rnacentral:rRNA from 1 species
UACGUAGGGGGCGAGCGUUGUCCGGAUUCAUUGGGCGUAAAGAGCUCGUAGGCGGCUUGGUAAGUCGGGUGUGAAACCUCCAGGCUCAACCUGGAGACGCCACUCGAUACUGCCAUGGCUAGAGUCCGGUAGGGGCCCACGGAAUUCCCGGUGUAGAGGUGAAAUUCGUAGAUAUCGGGAGGAACACCAGUGGCGAAGGCGGCGAUCUGGGAAGAUACUGACGCUGAGGUGCGAAAGCGUGGGGGAGCAAACAGGG